GGUGAGUAACGCGUGGGAACGUACCUUUUGGUUCGGAACAACACAGGGAAACUUGUGCUAAUACCGGAUAAGCCCUUACGGGGAAAGAUUUAUCGCCGAAAGAUCGGCCCGCGUCUGAUUAGCUAGUUGGUGAGGUAAUGGCUCACCAAGGCGACGAUCAGUAGCUGGUCUGAGAGGAUGAUCAGCCACAUUGGGACUGAGACACGGCCCAAACUCCUACGGGAGGCAGCAGUGGGGAAUAUUGGACAAUGGGGGCAACCCUGAUCCAGCCAUGCCGCGUGAGUGAUGAAGGCCCUAGGGUUGUAAAGCUCUUUUGUGCGGGAAGAUAAUGACGGUACCGCAAGAAUAAGCCCCGGCUAACUUCGUGCCAGCAGCCGCGGUAAUACGAAGGGGGCUAGCGUUGCUCGGAAUCACUGGGCGUAAAGGGUGCGUAGGCGGGUCUUUAAGUCAGGGGUGAAAUCCUGGAGCUCAACUCCAGAACUGCCUUUGAUACUGAAGAUCUUGAGUUCGGGAGAGGUGAGUG
rnacentral:rRNA from 2 species